rnacentral:tRNA from 1 species
GGUCCCGUGGUGUGACGGUUAUCACUUUGGACUCUGAAUCCAGCAAUCCGAGUUCAAUCUCGGCGGGACCU